rnacentral:rRNA from 1 species
UACGUAGGUCCCGAGCGUUGUCCGGAUUUAUUGGGCGUAAAGCGAGCGCAGGUGGUUAAUUAAGUCUGGUGUAAAAGGCAGUGGCUCAACCAUUGUAUGCAUUGGAAACUGGUAGACUUGAGUGCAGGAGAGGAGAGUGGAAUUCCAUGUGUAGCGGUGAAAUGCGUAGAUAUAUGGAGGAACACCAGUGGCGAAGGCGGCUUACUGGACUGUAACUGACGUUGAGGCUCGAAAGCGUGGGGAGCAAACAGG